rnacentral:rRNA from 2 species
GGCGAGUGAAGCGGGAUGAGCUCAAAUUUAAAAUCUGGCUGGUUUACUAGUCCGAAUUGUAGUUUAUAGAAGCGUUUUCGGUGGCAGCCUGGGUAUAAAUCCUUUGGAAUAGGGUAUCAUAGAGGGUGAGAAUCCCGUCUUUGACUCAGUGCAUGCUACUAUGUGAUACGUUUUCAAAGAGUCGAGUUGUUUGGGAAUGCAGCUCAAAAUGGGUGGUAAAUUUCAUCUAAAGCUAAAUAUUGGCGAGAGACCGAUAGCGAACAAGUACCGUGAGGGAAAGAUGAAAAGAACUUUGAAAAGAGAGUUAAACAGUGCGUGAAAUUGUUGAAAGGGAAACGUUUGACACCAGUUAUGCGGGUGGAAAAUCAGUCUUUUGCAGUGGGGAGUUGUGGGCGUUCAGACCGCAAGGCUGGCGUUUGCUUCAUCUUUGUUGUAAGUGAUGCACUUUUUCAUUUGCAGGUCAACAUCAGUUUGCUCUGCUGGACAAAACUCCAAGGGAAGGUGGCAGCUUAGGCUGUGUUAUAGCCCUGGAGCGAUACAGUGGGGUGGACUGAGGUUUCGCAGUGUGUGCUUUCGGGCAAGGCUGACUGGGUGCUAUGGGAUCGUUCGGCGUACAAUGCAUGCAUUUUGCGUCGUGUCUUUUUCAUACUCGCUCAACUCGG